CCUACGGGAGGCUGCGGUGGGGAAUAUUGGACAAUGGGGGGAACCCUGAUCCAGCCAUGCCGCGUGUGUGAAGAAGGCCCUCGGGUUGUAAAGCACUUUCAGUGAGGAAGAACGCCUGGUGGUUAAUACCCAUCAGGAAAGACAUCACUCACAGAAGAAGCACCGGCUAACUCCGUGCCAGCAGCCGCGGUAAUACGGAGGGUGCGAGCGUUAAUCGGAAUUACUGGGCGUAAAGCGCGCGUAGGUGGCUUGAUAAGCCGGUUGUGAAAGCCCCGGGCUCAACCUGGGAACGGCAUCCGGAACUGUCAAGCUAGAGUGCAGGAGAGGAAGGUAGAAUUCCCGGUGUAGCGGUGAAAUGCGUAGAGAUCGGGAGGAAUACCAGUGGCGAAGGCGGCCUUCUGGACUGACACUGACACUGAGGUGCGAAAGCGUGGGUAGCAAACAGGAUUAGAUACCCGGGUAGUC
rnacentral:rRNA from 1 species